GCGUCGGUAGUGCAUUGGUUAGCAUACGCUCCCGUAAAGAGUGAGAUCUGGAUUCGAAUCUCGGCUGACGCA